AGAGUUGUAUCCUGGCUCAGGAUUAACGCUGGCGGUAUGCCUAACACAUGCAAGUCGAACGAACCUUCGGGUUAGUGGCGAACGGGUGAGUAAUACAUUGGUAUCUGCCCCAGAGUAGGACAUAGCUUGCCGAAAGGUGAGGUAAUUUCCUAUAGUCUUAGUAAUAAGUAAAGCAGUAAUGCGCUCUGGGAGGAACCUUUGUCCUAUCAGCUUGUUGGUGAGGUAACGGCUCACCAAGGCUACGACGGGUAGCUGGAUCGAGAGGUUGACCAGCCACACUGGGACUGAGACACGGCCCAGACUCCUACGGGAGGCAGCAGUGAGGAAUUUUCCACAAUGGGCGAGAGCCUGAUGGAGCAAUACCGCGUGAAGGAUGACGGUCUUCGGAUUGUAAACUUCUUUUUUAUGGGAGGAUUAUGACGGUACCAUAUGAAUAAGCAUCGGCUAACUACGUGCCAGCAGCCGCGGUAAUACGUAGGAUGCAAGCGUUAUCCGGAAUUAUUGGGCGUAAAGAGUGUGUAGGUGGCACGUUAAGUUGAAUGUUAAAUCUCCGGGCUCAACUCGGGGGCUGCAUUCAAUACUGGCGAGCUCGAGGUAUGGAGAGGUAAGCGGAAUUAGUAGUGUAGCGGUGAAAUGCGUAGAUAUUACUAA
rnacentral:rRNA from 1 species